rnacentral:rRNA from 1 species
CCUACGGGUGGCAGCAGUGGGGAAUAUUGCACAAUGGGGGAAACCCUGAUGCAGCGACGCCGCGUGAGUGAAGAAGUAUUUCGGUAUGUAAAGCUCUAUCAGCAGGGAAGAAGAAAGACGGUACCUGACUAAGAAGACCCGGCUUCCUACGUGCCAGGACCAGCGGUAAUUCGUAGGGGGCAAGCGUUAUCCGGAUUUACUGGGGGUAAAGGGAGCGUAGACGGCUGUGCAAGUCUGAAGUGAAAGCCCAGGGCUCAAACCUGGGACUGCUUUAGAAACUGUGGAGCUAGAGUGCGACAGAGGUAAGUGGAAUUACGUGUGUAGCGGUGAAAUGCGUAGAUAUUAGUAGGAACACCAGUGGCGAAGGCGGCUUGCUGGAUAGUAACUGACGUUGAGGCUCGAAAGCGUGGGGAGCAAACAGGAUUAGAUACCCGAGUAGUC